rnacentral:rRNA from 1 species
GAUCCUGGCUCAGAGUGAACGCUGGCGGCGUGGAUUAGGCAUGCAAGUCGAGCGAUCCUUAUUAUUGAAGUACCUUGAGGCCUUCGGGCCAAGGGUGCGGAUUUAGUUGGGAUAGCGGCAAACCGGUGAGUAACACGUGAGUAACAUGCCUCGCGGAAGCGAAUAGUUUCGCGAAAGCGGAAGUAAUACGCUAUGGUCCCUUUAAUCUGCAAUGGUUUUAGGGUAAAGGUGGCGACCGACUUCGGUCGGGCUACCACCGUGAGAGUGGCUCGCGGCCUAUCAGGUAGUUGGCAGGGUAAUAGCCUACCAAGCCUAAGACGGGUAGCUGGCCUGAGAGGGUGGUCAGCCACAUCGGGACUGAGACACUGCCCGGACUCCUACGGGAGGCUGCAGUCGAGAAUCUUUCCCAAUGGGCGAAGGCCUGAGGAUGCGACGCCGCGUGGGGGAUGAAGGUCUUCGGAUUGUAAACCCCUUUUAUUGUGGAGGAAUACCGCACUUUGAACAAGGGUGUUGGUUUGACUGUACUCGAUGAAUAAGCCACGGCUAACUCCGUGCCAGCAGCCGCGGUAAUACGGAGGUGGCAAGCGUUACUCGGAUUAACUGGGUGUAAAGGGUCUGCAGGCGGCCAAGUAAGUGAAAGGUGAAAUCCCUCGGCUUAACCGAGAAACUGCCUUUCAAACUGCAUGGCUAGAGGCUGGAAAGGGAGAGCGGAACUGCCGGUGUAAGGGUGAAAUCUGUGGAUAUCGGCAGGAACGCCUGUGGAGAAGUCGGCUCUCUGGUCCAGUCCUGACGCUCAUAGACGAAAGCUAGGGGAGCAAACAGGAUUAGAUACCCUGGUAGUCCUAGCUGUAAACGAUGGGCACUAGGUGUUCGUCCUUAGGGAUGAGUGCCGGAGGUAACCCGGUAAGUGCCCCACCUGGGGACUACGGCCGCAAGGCUAAAACUCAAAGGAAUUGACGGGGGCCCGCACAAGCGGUGGAACACGUGGUUUAAUUCGAUGCUACGCGAGGAACCUUACCAGGGUUUGACAUGCAGGAUGUAGCGCCCUGAAAGGGGUUGCGACCGGUAACCAAUCCGGAACCUGCACAGGUGCUGCAUGGCUGUCGUCAGCUCGUGCCGUGAGGUGUUCCCUUAAGUGGGAAAACGAGCGCAACCCUCGUCCUUAGUUGCUACUCCGGUUUUUAAUCGGAGGCACUCUAAGGAGACUGCCCGCGUUAAGUGGGAGGAAGGUGGGGACGACGUCAAGUCCGCAUGGCCCUUAUGUCCUGGGCUACACACGUGUUACAAUGCCUGCUACAAAGGGAGGCCAACCCGCAAGGGGGAGCAAAUCCAUAAAAAGCAGGCCCAGUUCGGAUCGAGGGCUGCAAUUCGCCCUCGUGAAGCUGGAAUCGCUAGUAAUGGCGCAUCAGCUACGGCGCCGUGAAUACGUUCCCGGGCCUUGUACACACCGCCCGUCAAGCGCUGAAAGUGGGGGGCAUCUGAAGCUUCCGCAAGGAGAUCACGGUGAAUUUCAUGAUUGGCGCUAAGUCGUAACAAGGUA